CUUAAUUAUAUAUAUGAACAUGAUCUGCACUGGUGCAAUUAAUAAUAUUGUCUGCUUAAUUAGUAAGAUUUCAUGGUGAUUUUGGUUGGAGGAGGAGCUAGUUGGAUUGAGUGUGCCAGGAGGAAGAAACCCUAACCCUAGCUAGCUAUCAGCAUCAUGUUAAUUUGUCAUUGGCUGCCCAGUUCGUUUGUUAAUUACUGUUGAUUUAAGACCUGAAAGCAUAGCAAUGCAUGGGGAUCACAUUGGAUUUACAAGGUGUCAAACCUUGUGAGGCUGCUACAACGUAAAACUACCAAUUCCAACUUUUUUUCCUCUUUAUGGGUUGUUUAUUUCUCUUUUAGUUCGUGUUCGAGUAAAGUUUUGGGGAUAUUUUGUUUAUAUGACUGUUGGACCUAAUGCACCAGUAUAUAUUUGUUUAAUUUUGAUUUGCGGAUUUGUUGCUAUUGCUUCUGUUCUCAACACAUUACCAUGUUAUUUAAGUGAGAUGUGUGAUCUCGCAGAAUGGAUCCACCAUCUACUUUUUUGCGACCACACCAAUAAUUUUAUUCUGUCAAAAGGAAAACUUUAUUUAUUUGUAUAGUUAAUUUCUUCGGCGUGGAGAUCAGGAGGAGGAUCUUGUAGCUCUAUAGCUCACUUGCACGGCCUCAUUCUAUAUAUAAUCUUCCAUUUGACUUGGAACGUUGGUGUUGGAUGCCGUUGUUUGUAUUUAUAACUAAUCAUGCGUGCUUUGCCCAGCACUAACCAUAAACUAGUGCCCAUUAGUUUUCGUAGGUUGUUUAUGUGGUAGUAAUGAUCACUCCUGUGGUGUUUUGCAACUUGCAGCAGGCUAACAAAUUAUAUAUGUAGGCAGUUUUUUAUGUAUAAGUUGCUAACAAACCUAGUGUUUACUAAUAUGCCGUAGCAAAAAUAAGAUGUUGUGUCUCCUCUCCUGCCCAGGGAGAAGGGGGCUUGUGUUCUUGUUUUCUGUGUCUCAUGCUCCAUAUAUGCUGGUAAGCUGUCUUUGGGAAGGCAUGGCAUGAUCCCAUGCAUCAAUGCCACCCUAAUCCCUGCCCCCU
rnacentral:lncRNA from 1 species